rnacentral:misc_RNA from 1 species
CCUAAGAGAUACGUGUUAUGUGAAGUGCUCGCACAGAUUGUCUGAUGAAGAACGAGCAAAAGCGCGUCUGCGAAGCUGACAGAAGUCCCCUUCGUCUAGAGGCCUAGGACACCGCCCUUUCACGGCGGUAACAGGGGUUCGAAUCCCCUAGGGGACGCCAAUGCGCGGUAUGAGUGAAAGGCGUACCACUUAUCUGACGAGAGUCAGAGAAUAACUAAGCUAAUUCAAACGAGUUAUCUUACUUAUUAUGCUCUUUAACAAUCUGGAACAAGCUGAAAAAUUGAAAACAAAUCAAUAUAUCACCGAGGUAUAUUGGUGAGUCUCUCAAAAUCUCAAACCUUAAAGUUUGUCACACAAAGUUUAUCUUUGAAAAAGACACUUUCGGGUUGUGA